rnacentral:rRNA from 1 species
UACUAGAGUAGCACUUGCAUAUCAUAAGCGGAGGAAAAGAAACUAACAAGGAUUCCCCUAGUAACGGCGAGUGAAGCGGGAAGAGCUCAAAUUUGAAAUCUUAAAGGGUUUCCCUUACGAAUUGUAGUUUAAAGAAGUGUUUUCUGUUGAGGUUUUGGUAAAAGUUCUUUGGAAUAGGACAUCAUAGAGGGUGAGAAUCCCGUAUUUGACCUUUACUUUCAACUUUGUGAUACACUUUCAAAGAGUCGGAUUGUUUGGGAAUGCAGUCCAAAAUGGGUGGUAAAUUUCAUCUAAAGCUAAAUAUUGGCGAGAGACCGAUAGCGAACAAGUAUCGUGAGGGAAAGAUGAAAAGAACUUUGAAAAGAGAGUUAAACAGUACGUGAAAUUGUCGAAAGGGAAGCGUUUGACACCAGUGUUGUUUUUCUGAAAAUCAAUUAAAGAACUGUUUAUGCUAAGUUGUUUAGACUUUAUCAGCUAUCUGCUUUAGUCUUGAGCUUUUCUUUAAUGCACUUUUCAGUUAACAAGCCAACAUCAAUUUCUUUUGCUGUAAAAAAGCUUGAGGAAGGUGGCUUGAGAUUCGUCUUAAGUGUUUAUAGCCUCUUGCCUAUGCAGUCGGAGAGAUUGAGGUCUGCAGCGUAGAUCCUUCGGGGCUAAAUGCAUUUGUGCUAAGUUAUAGCAUUUUAUAGACAACUUGUUGACUAUGAUUUGUCUUGUAGCUUACUCGCUUAUGUUAUUUUACCUACGCUUAGGAUGUUGAACUCUAUCACACACAG